AAAUUGACGGGGACCCGCACAAGCGGUGGAUGAUGUGGAUUAAUUCGAUGCAACGCGAAAACCUUACUACCCUUGACAUGUCCGGAAUCCCGAAGAGAUUUGGGAGUGCUCGCAAGAGAGCCGGAACACAGGUGCUGCAUGGCUGUCGUCAGCUCGUGUCGUGAGAUGUUGGGUUAAGUCCCGCAACGAGCGCAACCCUUGUCAUUAGUUGCCAUCAUUUGGUUGGGCACUCUAAUGAGACUGCCGGUGACAAACCGGAGGAAGGUGGGGAUGACGUCAAGUCCUCAUGGCCCUUAUGGGUAGGGCUUCACACGUCAUACAAUGGUCGGUACAGAGGGUUGCCAACCCGCGAGGGGGAGCUAAUCCCACAAAGCCGAUCGUAGUCCGGAUCGCAGUCUGCAACUCGACUGCGUGAAGUCGGAAUCGCUAGUAAUCGUGGAUCAGCAUGUCACGGUGAAUACGUUCCCGGGUCUU
rnacentral:rRNA from 1 species